GAUGAACGCUGGCGGCGUGCCUAAUACAUGCAAGUCGAGCGAACGGACGAGAAGCUUGCUUCUCUGAUGUUAGCGGCGGACGGGUGAGUAACACGUGGAUAACCUACCUAUAAGACUGGGAUAACUUCGGGAAACCGUAGCUAAUACCGGAUAAUAUUUUGAACCGCAUGGUUCAAAAGUGAAAGACGGUCUUGCUGUCACUUAUAGAUGGAUCCGCGCUGCAUUAGCUAGUUGGUAAGGUAACGGCUUACCAAGGCAGCGAUGCAUAGCCGACCUGAGAGGGUGAUCGGCCACACUGGAACUGAGCCACGGUCCAGACUCCUACGGGAGGCAGCAGUAGGGAAUCUUCCGCAAUGGGCGAAAGCCUGACGGAGCAACGCCGCGUGAGUGAUGAAGGUCUUCGGAUCGUAAAACUCUGUUAUUAGGGAAGAACAUAUGUGUAAGUAACUGUGCACAUCUUGACGGUACCUAAUCAGAAAGCCACGGCUAACUACGUG
rnacentral:rRNA from 1 species